GGAUAUGAGGGCAAUCCGGAUGUGAUAUCUCUCACCCAAUUGAUUGAAAUGGUUGAUUUGGCUGAUCUGGCUGGCUCAGCAUGUUUCCCCUUUAUGCCUGACCACUCCAUGUGUGACCCUCUGGAAGGUGCAUGCUUGGUCAAAGUGGACGGCUUUCCCUGAAUAGAGGAGGUCUUUUGUGAAGGGUAUACGAUUAGCUGCUCUCUGCCACUAGAACCUCUAAACAAGCUCUAUAGUGAAUGGCUAUAAUGAAUACAGGUAAAAAAAACAUGUUUUUUCAUCUCCCU
ensembl:misc_RNA 7SK 7SK RNA